AACGAACGCUGGCGGCAGGCCUAACACAUGCAAGUCGAGCGGAUGUAGCAAUACAUCAGCGGCGCACGGGUGAGUAACGCGUGGGAACCUGCCCUUUGGUACGGAACAACCCUGGGAAACUAGGGCUAAUACCGAAUACGCCUCGAGAGAGGGAAAGAUUUAUCGCCGAAGGAGGGGCCCGCGUCCGAUUAGCUAGUUGGUGGGGUAAAGGCCUACCAAGGCUACGAUCGGUAGCCGGUCUGAGAGGACGAUCGGCCACACCUGGGACUGAGACACGGCCCAGACUCCUACGGGAGGCAGCAGUGGGGAAUAGUUGGGCAAUGGGCGCGAAGCCUGAUCCAGCCAUGCCGCGUGAGUGAAGAAGGCCUUCGG
rnacentral:rRNA from 1 species